rnacentral:rRNA from 1 species
GUCCAGACUCCUACGGGAGGCAGCAGUGGGGAAUAUUGCACAAUGGGGGAAACCCUGAUGCAGCGACGCCGCGUGAGUGAAGAAGUACUUCGUUAUGUAAAGCUCUAUCAGCAGGGAAGAAAAUGACGGUACCUGAGUAAGAAGCCCCGGCUAACUACGUGCCAGCAGCCGCGGUAAUACGUAGGGGGCAAGCGUUAUCCGGAUUUACUGGGUGUAAAGGGGGCGCAGACGGCAGCGCAAGCCAGGAGUGAAGGCCCGGGGCCCAACCCCGGGACUGCUCUUGGAACUGCGCGGCUGGAGUGCAGGAGGGGCAGGCGGAAUUCCUGGUGUAGCGGUGAAAUGCGUAGAUAUCAGGAGGAACACCGGUGGCGAAGGCGGCCUGCUGGACUGCGACUGACGUUGAGGCCCGAAAGCGUGGGGAGCAAACAGGAUUAAAUACCCCUGUACGA